UACGGGGGGGGCAAGCGUUGUUCGGAAUUACUGGGCGUAAAGGGCGCGUAGGCGGCACGGCAAGUCGGGAGUGAAAGCCCGGGGCUCAACCCCGGAACGUCUUUCGAAACUGCCGAGCUAGAGUGCGGAAGGGGCAACUGGAAUUCCCAGUGUAGCGGUGAAAUGCGUAGAUAUUGGGAGGAACACCAGUGGCGAAGGCGGCUCACUGGACCGGAACUGACGCUGAGGCGCGAAAGCGUGGGGAGCAAACAGG
rnacentral:rRNA from 1 species